GAGCCUCGGCCCGGUGUUCAUGCCGCCCGGCCAAUAGCAGGGGGAGUUGCGGGCCGGUGAACGCGUCACUGUCACGUCACAGUCUGGGGGCAGCGCUUGGCGCCCACAUAGCGCGGCGCGGGGGGGGCGCGGGAGCCUGGUGUGAAGCGUCUGGGACCGCCCCGCGCUUGUCAAGGGCCGUUCCGCUGCCAGGGAACCGAGCUCGUCUAACAGCUCCUGUGUUAGUGGCCUGCACCUCGGGGGCCGCCGGGCCGGGUCUUCCCCGUGCGCGGGGGAAAGUCUGGUGCCAGCCCCGACCCGCCCGGCCCGCCGCCUGGCUGUGCUGAGACGGGGUCCUCGGGCUUGAGUUCCCAGUUGUCCUGACUCUUGCGUAGGCGGAAGGAAAAUCCUUACAGUCACGAAUUACUCGAGGGCAUGUUGUUUCCGGGCAGCUGCCAUUAUUCAUUAAACGAGUUGAUAGCUCAGCUCAAGACAUGAAAAUAAGCACUGAAAUAAUCCAGCGAUGGUAUAACAAUUAAAAAUCAACUCUGUUCAGCCUAUGUAUAAUGCUCAGCAUUGACAGCAAACAUGUUGUGAUGAGAGAAAAGAGAAAGGAGAGAAAAAGAGGAGAGAGAAAUAAAAGAAAAGAGAAAAAAGGUACCCCACUGCCCUGUAACACCUCUAAAGGUGGAAGGAAUCUAUCGAGGAUACCACCACAGUUCGCCUGUUACCAGAUGGUGUGGCUGUAGCCAAAGACUGCAGUCCUUUCAUGGAACCUCUGACACUUCCUGGGAUGUCUUCCAAGCCACGCAGCUAAGGGAGAUGGAGGGGAAGCAAGGACAGAUGUGCAUGCCUCAAGACAAUUUCUGAUCUACAAGUGGACCUUCCAGCUAAUGCCAUUAAGAGCCUUUGAUGCAGAGUUCUGCAUAACAAGGAAGUGAAUGAAGAAGAGUGUUGUAUCCAACUGAAGCUGCAAUGUAUUUUGAAGCGGUAGUCUAACAUCAACCAUCAGAAUUUUGCCAGGAUACCAACAAUAACACCCUAAAUCUUGAGAACAGUGCUGCAGGAUGUUUAUUACAAAUAGUUAGGGCUUCUGUCAUCUCUCAUUCUACAAAAGGUAAAUAUUACAUCCCUAUUGAUCUAAAUAACACUUAAAUCAGGCAACCUGUCUCAUACCGUCUACCCACCUUUACUUACUGAUAUGUUGAGAAAUGUUGUUCAAGAAGAGGUUGGAUAGGCGUUGGACAUACAGCUGUGCCUAUAUUCAUAGAGAAUCAUGAAGAAGUAGGGGUGGAAGGAACCUCAAUAUGUCAUCUAGUCCAACACCCUGACUGAGGCAGGGGGUGUUCUACUAUGGGUAUUUUCUAUACUUAUGGAUUUUGUUGGUUGUCCCGUGGGGCCAGGAGAGAAUUCCACCUCAGAAAUAUUGGGUGGUGGUUGCAGCCAAGCCUGGGGACUUUGCUGGGACGUAAAUCUGGAGGUUCCUGGCUAAAGGGUUUUCCCCCUCCACUCAGCAGGGGGAGGAAGGAAUUGCCUUAGGUGGGUUCAGGAAGGAAUUUUAUCUCAUUGUCAGAUUGGUAUGGACUGUGGAGGUUUUUGCCUUCCUCUGUAGUGUGGGGGGUGUGGCCCUCUUCUUGGGAUCUCUCAAAUGUAUUUCAAUAAAUUUUGCAGCAGCAGGAUGUUGGCUGAAAUGGUCUUCUUGCUUUAUAUGGGGCAAAUUAGGUUGUGUGAUGAUUAUGUAGCUGUAUCAUUCCUUUUGAUGCUACCUGUUGUUUUCUUCUUUCUUUUUUUUUGGAUGGGUUUUAUUCUGGCAGGGAAAGGGCAACCAUCUGGCUUGCAGAGGGGCUGCGUGUGGCCUGGCUCAUUGCACUCUGCCCUGGGGAUGGUGCUGGAAGGGCCCCUCUCCCCAGGGCUCCUGCUCUUUCUAGAAGCUGGGGGAGCAGAUAUAAGCAGAGGAGCUGGAGAGUUCACAUGUGGGUAUGUAUGCCUGUGUGAGUGCCUGCUGGCCUGCUGGAAUCCACCGCAGCCUGUUGGGGUGAAGCCCCAGAGAGUGGAGACAGAGGGAGUCAUCCAUGUGGGGUCUGUGGCUGGAAAGGCAUGAGCACUGGGGCAAGGGCAACCUGCUGAGGCCAGCAGAGAAGCUGAGACCUCAAAGGAUGGGUGGAUUUCCCUGCAGAGACAGUGAUGAUUCUGGCCUGCUGCUGGAACCGUCCAUGGUCUGAGAAGUAAGCACUGACCAGGGGUGGGAAUGAACUGUUAGGAGUUAGGAUGUUUUAAAUCUUUAUUUUGUCUUCUCAGUCACAUGGUAGCAUUUUUCCUCCUAAUUAUUAAAGCAGGGAGAGGGGGGGAGGAUUAUCCCUGAAAUGUAGUUAUUCUUUAAUUCUCUAAUAUAUCUUGCCUCAUGGGGAGUUUGCAUUCACAUCGCCUUAGCUAACACAUCACAGGGUGAUACAUUUUGUGUUGUGUCUGGGUUGACUGUGUUGUUUUGCUAAGGGAUGAUCCUGCCUCUGGCAGGGGGCUGGAAGUUCAAGAACCUUUCAACACACCCUUAAACAAACAUAAUAUUUUUCUAUUUGCUUUGUUAUGUGUAUGGUUUGAUCAAACUCCCACUAGAGUCAAGAGCAAUCUCUCCAACGGACUCCCAUUUGACUUGAAUUGUGCCUGGGGGCCAUAUCAAUCUGCUACUUCAGUCUCCCCGAGAAGAUACUUCAGCUGGUCCAGGGAAAAGAAAUGUUUAUCUGGACAUAAUGAACACUGGGCUGUUUGAUUAUAAUGGAUUCUUCUACAGAAUGGAGUUUAUGACCUGCUAAAACAUGGAAUAAAAUCUUGAAAAUCAGGAGUAAAAACCUUAAUGACUAAUGAA